rnacentral:misc_RNA from 1 species
GAUGAAGAACGCAGCGAAAUGCGAUAAGUAAUGCGAAUUGCAGAAUUCCAGUGAGUCAUCGAAUCUUUGAACGCACAUUGCGCCCCCUGGCAUUCCGGGGGGCAUGCCUGUCCGAGCGUCAUUUCUGCCCUCAAGCCCGGCUUGUGUGUUGGGCGUGGUCCCCCCGGUUUAGGGGGGACCUGCCCGAAAGGCAGCGGCGACGUUCCGCCUAGGUCCUCGAGCGUAUGGGGCUUUGUCACCCGCUCGGGAGGGGCCUACGGGCGUUGGCCAUCCACCAUUUUUUUUUACGGUUGACCUCGGAUCAGGUAGGAGUUACCCGCUGAACUUAAGCAUAUCAAUAAGCGGAGGA